UGAUUCUGUUAUUCUGUGCAAAAUUAAGGCGACCAACAUCAGAGGGGAUUGUAUCAAUCAAACUGUGAAACUUUAUUGUGCUGCCCGUGAAGUGGCACGUGAUAGUUAGAGAUGGGUGAAAGAAAGGAGAAAAGUAAAGUUUAGAGAGAGGAGAGAGAGAGAGGUUAUAGCUACCACCGCUGAUCUCAAGAUGUCCUAAUGGCCCCGGGUCCAGCUGAUGCUGCGUUGUCGAUCGUCAUGAUCCUUGGUGGGGAAACUUCCAAUUUUCAUUGCCAAGCAGUCAUCUUUUAUGCUUAGUAACACACCUUGCUCUACCUCUGCCUC